rnacentral:rRNA from 1 species
GACGAACGCUGGCGGCGUGCUUAACACAUGCAAGUCGAACGGAAAGGCCCUGCUUUUGUGGGGUGCUCGAGUGGCGAACGGGUGAGUAACACGUGAGUAACCUGCCCUUGACUUUGGGAUAACUUCAGGAAACUGGGGCUAAUACCGGAUAGGAGCUCCUGCUACAUGGUGGGGGUUGGAAAGUUUCGGCGGUUGGGGAUGGACUCGCGGCUUAUCAGCUUGUUGGUGGGGUGGUGGCUUACCAAGGCUUUGACGGGUAGCCGGCCUGAGAGGGUGACCGGCCACAUUGGGACUGAGAUACGGCCCAGACUCCUGCGGGAGGCAGCAGUGGGGAAUAUUGCACAAUGGGCGGAAGCCUGAUGCAGCAACGCCGCGUGCGGGAUGACGGCCUUCGGGUUGUAAACCGCUUUCGCCUGUGACGAAGCGUGAGUGACGGUAAUGGGUAAAGAAGCACCGGCUAACUACGUG